rnacentral:lncRNA from 1 species
AUCUUCUUCGUUAGUACGUCGCCGUUCUUCUCUCUCUUCUGCAUUUCAACAGUGUUCCGCCACAAUUUCCGGUUCCCCUCUUUGACUCGCCGUCAUCUUCACUAUUUCCUCCUUUUUGCAGGGUUAGGACCGAAUUGAAGAUUCAUGGAGACGAUUGAAAUCGAUGAGAGCGUGUUUGGUGGUGAUUAAAUUAAAGAUUGUUUGUUUAGUGGUGUUUAAAGAGUAUUAGUAUUGAAUUUCACCCAAAAAUAAUCCUUCAGGCUUCAGAUAUGCCUGUGCCUCAUGUAUGCCUCUCAAGAUUUUAGUAAUUAAGCAUUUGCAAGUCCUGUGAUUGGUGUAGACGUGUUG